GACGAACGCUGGCGGCGUGCUUAACACAUGCAAGUCGAACGGAAAGGCCCUGCUUUUGUGGGGUGCUCGAGUGGCGAACGGGUGAGUAACACGUGAGUAACCUGCCCUUGACUUUGGGAUAGCUUCAGGAAACUGGGGCUAAUACCGGAUAGGAGCUCCUGCUGCAUGGUGGGGGUUGGAAAGUUUCGGCGGUUGGGGAUGGACUCGCGGCUUAUCAGCUUGUUGGUGGGGUAGUGGCUUACCAAGGCUUUGACGGGUAGCCGGCCUGAGAGGGUGACCAGCCACAUUGGGACUGAGAUACGGCCCAGACUCCUACGGGAGGCAGCAGUGGGGAAUAUUGCACAAUGGGCGGAAGCCUGAUGCAGCAACGCCGCGUGCGGGAUGACGGCCUUCGGGUUGUAAACCGCUUUCGCCUGUGACGAAGCGUGAGUGACGGUAAUGGGUAAAGAAGCACCGGCUAACUACGUG
rnacentral:rRNA from 1 species